CAGUAGCCGCGGGAAUACGUAGGUGGCAAGCGUUGUCCGGAAUUAUUGGGCGUAAAGGGCUCGCAGGCUGUUUCUUAAGUCUGAUGUGAAAGCCCCCGGCUCAACCGGGGAGGGUCAUUGGAAACUGGGAAACUUGAGUGCAGAAGAGGAGAGUGGAAUUCCACGUGUAGCGGUGAAAUGCGUAGAGAUGUGGAGGAACACCAGUGGCGAAGGCGACUCUCUGGUCUGUAACUGACGCUGAGGAGCGAAAGCGUGGGGAGCGAACAGGAUUAGAUACCCCCGUAGUCCCUGUCUCUUAUAC
rnacentral:rRNA from 1 species